rnacentral:rRNA from 1 species
GACGAACCGUGCGAACGUUGUUCGGAAUCACUGGGCUUAAAGGGCGCGUAGGCGGGUGUGCAAGUCUGUGGUGAAAGCCUCCAGCUUAACCUGGAGAAGUGCCAUGGAUACUGCACAUCUUGAGGAGGGUAGGGGCAUCUGGAACGGUCGGUGGAGCGGUGAAAUGCGUUGAUAUCGACCGGAACUCCGGUGGCGAAGGCGAGGUGCUGGACCCUUCUGACGCUGAGGCGCGAA